AUCCAAAAUGUUGAACAAUAAUCAGUAAAAUUGUGGUUUUCUCGUUCGUGUGACAACACAAAAGCAAAAAUUAACGAAAUGUCCGAAAAAAAACCAUUAGACUCUGAAUACGAGUGGAUUGUUCGAAUCUGUACAAACGCUUUUAACAUAUAUCUAACAAUGAUACACUUUAUAUUUUAUGACAACACUUUAAACUUGCAACCAGAAAAUUAUGAAAUUUCGCUCGUGUCGUACACACUACUCAUGGCAGCGUUGGAUCUUUUCGCAUAUUGCGUUUUCCAAUAAAUCGGUACGAAUUACAGGCGACAAAGAAUAAAGGAAGACCAUAAAUGUGCCACUAACACCGUAAUAUCGUACGAUAUAGAAGAGAAUAAUAGAAAUCAUAUAUGGUUUUUGUGUAAAAUAUAUUCAAAAUUUACAUUUAAAAUCUCCAUACAACACGAAAGCUUACAGCAACAUUAUUGCAAUAUUGCUGGAACAUUGCUGUAAUAUUGUUAAAAUGAUUUAUGCUGUAUGGACCUCCACAAAACGCAGGAGUGACAAUAAUAUUACGUCAUAAUUUCUCAGUCAACAAUAUAAAUGUAACAUGUGUAUACUAAGAUACUACAUAACAAUCACA